CCUUCGCCUUAAUGCAUCACAAGUCUCUUAAGGAAUUCUGUGAAAGCUGCAGACUUUCUCCUUAGAAAAAAGCAGAUAAGCUCAUUCACACUGAAGUGUGUAGAUGAUUGCAGAAAAUUAGAAGUCUUCAGUCCCCUGAAGGUACUGCUUUUUGUGCUGGGGAUACUGUGGUAAACAAGACAGGAAAUGUUUCUCUUCCCAUGCAACUUACAUCCUGCUCUUUGCUGACACAAACCAUGAGUCAGAUGGGGCAUCAUCUCCAGGAAACCUUCCUUGAUUCUACCUGGAACUUCCUACCCUGUGGCUAAGUAAGACAUCUCUACCCUGUGGCUAAAGUUGGGAGCUUCCAGAAAUAGCAAUGGCCUGGACUUCUUUCUGUGUGUUCCUUCAUCAGACUUGAUCUGUUUGAACCAAUGAUUGCACUUAGGAAAGUAGUCUUGGG